CAUAUCUCUCUAUCUCUAGCUCACAUAUUCUAUUCAUAUUUUUAAAAUAAGAGGAGAAGAAGAAGGAAGAUUGAAUCAACAAACAAUACCAAUGGAACUCGUUGAUGAUGAUGAAGAUUAUAAUCUCUACUGGGAAACAAAUUUGUUUUUGCAAAACGGAGAACUUGAACUUGAUAGCUGGGGAUUUGAUGAACCCAUUUCGGUUCGAGUUUGCCGGAUGCAGCAGCAUCGUCUUCUUCUGUGACUGCAAAACAGAUAGUUUCGGAAAGAAAUAGAAGGAAGAAACUCAAUGAUAGAUUAUUUGCACUAAGAGCUGUAGUUCCUAACAUUAGCAAGAUGGAUAAAAGCCUCAACUAUUAAGGAUGCGAUCGAGUACAUUCAAGAACUACACGACCAAGAAGAAGCAUUCAGUCCGAAAGAACCAAACUUGAAUCUGGAAAAUUGAAGAAAUCAAUGUCAGAUAUUGAUCUAGAAGAUACGAAUUUAUCGAAAACAAAGAAAAAAAGAAUUGACAGUACCUACGGUUCUAGCGAAUCGCAGACAUCAUCUAUCGAGAGACUCGAAGCUCAUGAAGAAGAUAAAGAUGACCUGAAAAUGAAGACAGAAGCAGCACUAAACGAUCCACAAAGUCCUAAUAUGAGUUUCUAAUUGCCCUAUUAACUCUCACUGGCCUGUAGGCUUUUGCAUGGAAGAUAAGUUUCUGUGCAACUUUAAACGUUAUGCAAGCCGCAAGUGCCAACUAGUGGCAGGAGUUUAAUUGAUUUGCUUUGUCCCUUCUUUGUUGUACUUGUAAUGAGGGACGGAUCCAGAAAGGAUAAAUUUUCUUUUAAGACCCGGGCUAGAAGCCUUGGUCAAGCAAAUUUUUUCUUCUUUCGGUUUGUGGAUUAGGAAGACUACCCGGGCUUUAGCCCCUUUAGCCCAGGAAUAGGUCCGUCCCUGUUUGUAAUGAACUUCUAACAGAGACAAGUGCAUGGGGAUACUGGAUCUGGCUUGUUUUUGAAUAUUCAUGUAAAUUUACUUUGAUUUUCAGAAAAUUUAGUUUUUUGU